AUUGAACGCUGGCGGCAGGCCUAACACAUGCAAGUCGAGCGGAUGAAGGGAGCUUGCUCCUGGAUUCAGCGGCGGACGGGUGAGUAAUGCCUAGGAAUCUGCCUGGUAGUGGGGGAUAACGUCCGGAAACGGGCGCUAAUACCGCAUACGUCCUGAGGGAGAAAGUGGGGGAUCUUCGGACCUCACGCUAUCAGAUGAGCCUAGGUCGGAUUAGCUAGUUGGUGGGGUAAAGGCCUACCAAGGCGACGAUCCGUAACUGGUCUGAGAGGAUGAUCAGUCACACUGGAACUGAGAGACGGUCCAGACUCCUACGGGAGGCAGAAGUGGGGAAUAUUGGACAAGGGGCGAAAGACUGAUACAGCCAUGCCGCGUGUGUGAAGAAGGUCUUCGGAUUGUAAAGUACUUUAAGUUGGGAGGAAGGGCAGUAAGUUAAUACCUUGCUGUUUUGACGUUACCAAAAGAAUAAGCACCGGCUAACUUCGUG
rnacentral:rRNA from 1 species